CACAUGCAAGUCGAGCGCACCUUUCGGGUGAGCGGCGGACGGGUUUAGUAACGCCCUGGAACGUACCCUUUUCUACGGAAUAGCCUUUGGAAACGAAGAGUAAUACCGUAUACGCCCUUUGGGGGAAAGAUUUAUCGGAGAAGGAUCGGCCCGCGUUAGAUUAGAUAGUUGGUGGGGUAACGGCCUACCAAGUCUACGAUCUAUAGCUGGUUUUAGAGGAUGAUCAGCAACACUGGGACUGAGACACGGCCCAGACUCCUACGGGAGGCAGCAGUGGGGAAUCUUAGACAAUGGGCGCAAGCCUGAUCUAGCCAUGCCGCGUGAGUGAUGAAGGCCUUAGGGUCGUAAAGCUCUUUCGCCUGUGAUGAUAAUGACAGUAGCAGGUAAAGAAACCCCGGCUAACUCCGUGCCAGCAGCCGCGGUAAUACGGAGGGGGUUAGCGUUGUUCGGAAUUACUGGGCGUAAAGCGCACGUAGGCGGAUUGGAAAGUUGGGGGUGAAAUCCCGGGGCUCAACCCCGGAACUGCCUCCAAAACUAUCAGUCUAGAGUUCGAGAGAGGUGAGUGGAAUUCCAAGUGUAGAGGUGAAAUUCGUAGAUAU
rnacentral:rRNA from 1 species